AUGUUCGUUGCCUUCCUAGUUUCAAUCACUUAAUUGUGACUUGACAAUUACUGCAACAGUUUUGGUAUGCUUGCGACAUUAGGAUAGUACGCAUGCUUCCCAAAGAGCUCAUGAGUUUAUCGACAUCACGCUCGAAGCGGCUGAAUCUAUUCUGCGGCAAUUUGAAGUUGCCCAUCCGAUACGAAACUUGCCCAACGUUAUCCUCAUCAUUUAGGUUUAGAUUGAGGGUAAAACUCCAUCUAUAUGUGUGUGUGUAUAUAUAUAUAUAUAUAAAUAUAUAUAUUUUGGCGAAGCUUGAUUUGAUCUGGUACGUAGGUGGACGAUAUAAUGCCUGGUGGAUAAGCGACCUCGGUGGACGUCUGGAGGCCUGUGACACGCUUUAUACAAAUGUUGAGUACCUGACUCUUAACCGCAGCUUGGAAGCAAGUGAUAUGGCUUUGAGCCAUGCCAGAGAUUUGGUCAGCAAAGGCAUGAGCCGCCUUGAGGAAGAGUUCAGGGCGCUUCUUCCUUUCACAGAAAGUUGAUCAGUGAAGGGAGCCAACAGAAGAUGCAAAAGUUAGUUGGGUGCAGCCAAGGUUAGUUGGAUCUUGGAGUGAUGCAAGUUGUGUUUUGCUUUGUGAACUUGGUUAUUUUGGAUCAAUGACCUUGCCUUUAUUAUAGGGGAGAAGGUUGUACUAUAUCAAGGAUUUAGGCCCAGUAUAGUGGAAAUAGUGGGAGCAUUAAGUUAAGGAUUUUAGUAGUUCAUAGUAGGGAGGAGGUUGAGUUAUAUUUGGAUUUUAGGAUUUUAGACUCUAGUAGAAGAGAAUAUUGUAGAUAAGGGUUUUAUGUCUAGUUCUUCUCAAUUGUUUGCAUAGCAAGUAUAGAUUACAUGCUUGGUUAGAAAGUUUUCAUGUUGAAUAGAUGCAAGAAUAUAGUCUAUUUCUACUUCUUUCAUUUUUUUAAUUUUUUUUAAUAAAAUAUAUCUUUAUAUCUA